UACGGAGGGGGCUAGCGUUGUUCGGAAUUACUGGGCGUAAAGCGUGCGCAGGCGGUUCGUUGUGUCGGCGGUGAAAGCCCCGGGCUCAACCUGGGAAUGGCCGUUGAAACUGGCGAACUGGAGUGUGGCAGAGGGGGGUGGAAUUCCGCGUGUAGCAGUGAAAUGCGUAGAGAUGCGGAGGAACACCGAUGGCGAAGGCAGCCCCCUGGGCUGACACUGACGCUCAGGCACGAAAGCGUGGGGAGCAAACAGG
rnacentral:rRNA from 1 species